rnacentral:rRNA from 1 species
GGACCGUGUAUAAGUCUCCUGGGAUGGGGCGUCAUAGAGGGUGAGAAUCCCGUCUUUGACACGGACUACCAGUGCAUUGUGGUAUGCUCUCAAAGAGUCGAGUUGUUUGGGAAUGCAGCUCAAAAUGGGUGGUAAAUUCCAUCUAAAGCUAAAUAUUGGCGAGAGACCGAUAGCGAACAAGUACCGUGAGGGAAAGAUGAAAAGAACUUUGGAAAGAGAGUUAAACAGUACGUGAAAUUGCUGAAAGGGAAACGCUUGAAGUCAGUCGCGUUGGCCAGGGAUCAGCCUUGCUUUUGCAUGGUGUACUUUCUGGUUGACGGGUCAGCAUCAAUUUUGACCGCUGGAAAAAGGCUUGGGGAAUGUGGCAGCAUUGGCUGUGUUAUAGCCCCUGGUCACAUACAGCGGUUGGGAUUGAGGAACUCAGCACGCCGCAAGGCCGGGUUUCGACCACGUUCGUGCUUAGGAUGCUGGCAUAAUGGCUUUAAGCGACCCGUCUUGAAACACGGACCAAGGAGUCUAACAUGCCUGCGAGUAUUUGGGUGGAAAACCCGAGUGCGCAAUGAAAGUGAAAGUUGAGAUCCCUGUCGUGGGGAGCAUCGACGCCCGGACCAGAACUUUUGCGACGGAUCCGCGGUGGAGCAUGUAUGUUGGGACCCGAAAGAUGGUGAACUAUGCCUGAAUAGGGUGAAGCCAGAGGAAACUCUGGUGGAGGCUCGUAGCGAUUCUGACGUGCAAAUCGAUCGU